UCCAGGAUUCAGGUUUCUGAGUGAACUUUCCUUUGGUGCAUAAAAGACAUCAGCAGGUUUCCUCCAAACUGCACAUCAACUGUUCUCAGAAACUUCUGAGACAAGGAAGAGACCAUGGAGGAAACCAGAGAGCAGAGCUUUGGAGCAGGAAGAUGUCCACAAAGAAGCCCUCAUCACAACUAUGGCAUGUAGAAAGUAAAUUCAUCAUUUAAAAUCAUUCAAGCACAGGAGCCGGUGCUGUGGUGUAGCAGGUAAAGCCGCCGUCUGCAGUGCCAGCAUUCCAUAUGGGCGCCGGUUCGAGUCUCGGCUGCUCCACUUCUGAUCCAGCUCUCCGCUAUGGCCUGGAAAACCAGUGGAAAAUGGCCCAAGUCUUUGGGCCCCUGCAUCUGCAUAGGAGACCCAGAGGAAGCUCCUGGCUCCUGGCUUCAGAUCGGUGCAGCUCUGGCAGUUGCGGCCAAUUGGGGAGUGAAUCAGUGGAUGGAAGACCUCUCUCUCUCUCUCUCUCUUUCUCUCCUUCUCUCUCUGUGUAACUCUGACUUUCAAAUAAAUCUUUACAAAAUUAUUCAAGCACAAUAAAGCUUAUUAUC